UUUCCUUGUGUUAUCGGGUAGAGUAUCAUCUUCAAGGGUUUCAAAAAGUCUUUGCAGUAAAGUUUCAACCAAUUGCUGUGAAGAGGCAUAUUCAUUUGAGUAAUUCAGUUUCAGAUUUUCAGGGCGUGUGUGUUUAAUUAGUUUUGAUUAAAAUAUUUAGUCACUCAUUCUGAAUCUUUUCUAAUUUUCAAGUUCCUUAGGGCCACAGCCAGUUUUUCAGGUCUGCAGAAACUAUCUUGAGUGUUGAGGAAUUGCGUUUGAGCACACACAGAAACAAGGCUAAUGGAAAAGAACUUGACAGAAGAAUUAUGCUCUAAAUCUAACAAAAGUAUAUUUCUACUUCUUGUGGUUAUUUUACUUUUGUAUUUUCUGUCAUCAUAUUUGAUUAAUUCAUUCGAAUUCAGACUCUCAUUAUUUAAAACCAUUUUCAGGUGGCUUGCACGCUAAUUAAGUUAAUGCAGAAGCUAUACUCUAGACAAAGAUGAGCAAAUUGAAGAUGAUAAAUACAUAUAUGGUGGCCAAGUCGCUCAUUACAUUUCAUCUCUCAUACGAACAUGAUUCUGAAUUUGAAUUUCGAUCAAUAAUAGUCAGGCUGGUGCAGAUAUUCUUAAAAGGGCAUUAAGCUACCUUAUGAAAUUGGAAAGUUAUCAUUGCUUGAAUGAAAGCACCAUCUUCUGUUGUCAAGGCUUUCCCCACACGAUGAGAUUCUGUGCUUGUUAUCGGCCACUUAAUUAUUUAUUAAAUCAGGUUUUUGUUAUCAAGUACAUCAUCUUAUUCACCAUUUUGGCUAUAUAUAAAGAUUAAAAUUUCUAACAGUUGUUUCGGAUUCUUGUGUACUCAG
rnacentral:lncRNA from 1 species